CAAUGCAUAUCAUAUGUAAUGAUUAUGAUAAAAUGAUACGAGCGUUAGCGAGUUCUUAUCAUGAAGAAAAAGAUUAAAACCAUUUUACAAACGUAAAAUAUUAUAAAGUAUUAAAGGCUUAAUUUGCCGCCUCGUUGGUUUCAUUCAAGAAUAGAUUUAGUGGUCAGUCUGAAUGUAAAUACGAAAUGCAUGAUUUCAUUUCAAUACGUACGUUGAAACUGUGGCAAUGGAAUAAGUUUCCUUUAAUUGUAGGAAUGAAAGUAAGAUCAAAAGAAUUUAUAAUGUGGUGCUCUGAUGACGAUGCAAAAUUAAUUAAUGAUUUCACUAUAUCAGAUUAUUUUCAAUAUCCUAUAUAUAAAUUUAUCAACGAUCAAAGUAAAUCGAAAUUCAUGUCAUAACAACAAAUCUAUUGACGAGUCUUAUGUAGACGAAACGCUCAUCUGGCGUACCAAAUUAUAUGCCAGUUAUCCUUGAUGAGAUUUUACUGUGGCAGAAUAAUGUAUACAAAAAAAAUGAAGACAAAUAUCGACAAAAAAUCUUUAUUUCUGUCGUAAAACGUCCACGUGAUUAUAGCAACAUUCUAAAUGCCAAAUGUCGAGAGUUAAUUGUUUCAAAAUGUAUUAAAUAUAUAUAUUCUAUCUUAAUAAUUUUUAAUUCGUUGUAUUUGAUAAUUGUAUUAGUUUUAUAUUAUUUUUAAUUCGUUGUAUUUGAUAAUUGUAUUAGUUUUAUAUUAUUUUUAAUUUUGUUUUAAAUGUAGAUUAAGAGUUUCGAACAUUUCAUUAAACAUUUAGAGAUGUAUGAACCAUAUGUACAAAUUUAUCAAAAAUACUGCACAUUUGAUUUAACAACAUGUUGGCAAGAAUUAAAAGAAAAUCACGUUUAUGAGAAAUAUUUAGUGUACUAAAUAAUCUGACUAAUCUUGCCGUUUCUCUAUACUUUUAAACUAAUACAUGAUAAUAAUAGGGUUUGCUAUUCUGAGUUUGUAGAUUUGUAUUGUUUGUCCCUUAUCUUUUGUUAAGGAAUCAGGAUUAAAUGACGUCUAGGUAAA